rnacentral:rRNA from 1 species
CGCUGGCGGCGUGCUUAACACAUGCAAGUCGAGCGGUAACAGGCGUAGCAAUACGUGCUGACGAGCGGCGAACGGGUGAGUAAUGCUUCGGAAUCUUCCUCGUAGUGGGGAAUAACCUGGGGAAACUCAGGCUAAUACCGCAUACGAACUACGGUUGAAAGCAGGGGAUCGCAAGACCUUGCGCUAUGAGAUGAGCCGAGGUCGGAUUAGCUAGUUGGUGGGGUAAAGGCCUACCAAGGCGACGAUCCGUAGCUGGUCUGAGAGGACGACCAGCCACACUGGGACUGAGACACGGCCCAGACUCCUACGGGAGGCAGCAGUGGGGAAUAUUGGACAAUGGGGGCAACCCUGAUCCAGCGACGCCGCGUGUGUGAAGAAGGCCUGCGGGUUGUAAAGCACUUUUAGUGGGGACAAAAAGCCGAGGGUUAAUACCUUUCGGUCUUGGUUUAACCCAAAGAAAAAGCACCGGCUAACUCUGUGCCAGCAGCCGCGGUAAUACAGAGGGUGCAAGCGUUAAUCGGAAUUACUGGGCGUAAAGCGUGCGUAGUCGGUUAUCUAAGUCAGGUGUGAAAUCCCCGGGCUCAACCUGGGAAUUGCAUUUGAUACUGGAUAGCUAGAGUUCGGCAGAGGGAAGUGGAAUUUCUGGUGUAGCGGUGAAAUGCGUAGAUAUCAGAAGGAACAUCAGUGGCGAAAGCGACUUCCUGGACCAGAACUGACGAUCAGGCACGAA